rnacentral:rRNA from 1 species
GAGCGGAUGAGAAGAGCUUGCUCUUCGAUUCAGCGGCGGACGGGUGAGUAAUGCCUAGGAAUCUGCCUGGUAGUGGGGGACAACGUUUCGAAAGGAACGCUAAUACCGCAUACGUCCUACGGGAGAAAGCAGGGGACCUUCGGGCCUUGCGCUAUCAGAUGAGCCUAGGUCGGAUUAGCUAGUUGGUGAGGUAAUGGCUCACCAAGGCGACGAUCCGUAACUGGUCUGAGAGGAUGAUCAGUCACACUGGAACUGAGACACGGUCCAGACUCCUACGGGAGGCAGCAGUGGGGAAUAUUGGACAAUGGGCGAAAGCCUGAUCCAGCCAUGCCGCGUGUGUGAAGAAGGUCUUCGGAUCGUAAAGU